GACGUAGGGGGCCAGCGUUGCUCGGAAUUACUGGGUGUAAAGGGUUCGUAGGCGGUGUGGCAAGUCGGGAGUGAAAUCUCUGGGCUCAACCCAGAGUCUGCUUCCGAAACUGCUGUGCUUGAGUGUGGGAGAGGCGCGUGGAAUUGCAGGUGUAGCGGUGAAAUGCGUAGAUAUCAGGAGGAACACCGGUGGCGAAGGCGGUUCUCUGGGCAUGUCCUGACGCUGAGGAGCGAAAGUGUGGGGAGCGAACAGG
rnacentral:rRNA from 1 species